rnacentral:lncRNA from 1 species
AGCUGUUCUUCCCCUCUGCUGACUUUAUGUGGAGUAAAGGGCUACUCCAGCUGAGGAAAAAUGCCAAUAAAGGAGAUGAAAACAGCCAGAAAUUGUAUAUACUUAUCAUGUACAACAUGAUGCCCUGAAAUAUGUCUACACUACGGGAUGGCCAAAUUGAGGCAAUUAACAUAUGCAAGACCUCACAAACUUCAAAUUUUUUGUGGUGAGAACACUUAAAAUCCACAAAAAUUAGUAAUGUUCAGAAAUACGGAUUCAAGGAACCCAUGCAAGAGUUCAAGCUGAGAGAGAGGGAGAGAGAAGCUCCUACUUUAUGAAAUCCUGGCCCAGUCUCUACUUUCCAUAAGAAACUACAGCCUUGAAAACGAAGCUGCUUGCUCAAGGCCACAGACCUGAUUUGUG